rnacentral:rRNA from 1 species
AGAUGCAAGUCGAGCGGUAGAGAGAAGCUUGCUUCUCUUGAGAGCGGCGGACGGGUGAGUAAAGCCUAGGAAUCUGCCUGGUAGUGGGGGAUAACGUUCGGAAACGGACGCUAAUACCGCAUACGUCCUACGGGAGAAAGCAGGGGACCUUCGGGCCUUGCGCUAUCAGAUGAGCCUAGGUCGGAUUAGCUAGUUGGUGAGGUAAUGGCUCACCAAGGCGACGAUCCGUAACUGGUCUGAGAGGAUGAUCAGUCACACUGGAACUGAGACACGGUCCAGACUCCUACGGGAGGCAGCAGUGGGGAAUAUUGGACAAUGGGCGAAAGCCUGAUCCAGCCAUGCCGCGUGUGUGAAGAAGGUCUUCGGAUUGUAAAGCACUUUAAGUUGGGAGGAAGGGCAUUAACCUAAUACGUUAGUGUUUUGACGUUACCGACAGAAUAAGCACCGGCUAACUCUGUGCCAGCAGCCGCGGUAAUACAGAGGGUGCAAGCGUUAAUCGGAAUUACUGGGCGUAAAGCGCGCGUAGGUGGUUUGUUAAGUUGGAUGUGAAAUCCCCGGGCUCAACCUGGGAACUGCAUUCAAAACUGACUGACUAGAGUAUUGGUAGAGGGUGGUGGAAUUUCCUGUGUAGCGGUGAAAUGCGUAGAUAUAGGAAGGAACACCAGUGGCGAAGGCGACCACCUGGGACUAAUACUGACACUUGAGGGUGCGAAAG